AUUGAACGCUGGCGGCAGGCCUAACACAUGCAAGUCGAGCGGAUGAAGGGAGCUUGCUCCUGGAUUCAGCGGCGGACGGGUGAGUAAUGCCUAGGAAUCUGCCUGGUAGUGGGGGAUAACGUCCGGAAACGGGCGCUAAUACCGCAUACGUCCUGAGGGAGAAAGUGGGGGAUCUUCGGACCGCACGCUAUCAGAUGAGCCUAGGUCGGAUUAGGUAGUUGGUGGGGUAAAGGCCUACCAAGGCAACGAUCUGUAGCUGGUCUGAGAGGAUGAUCAGCCACACUGGGACUGAGACACGGCCCAGACUCCUACGGGAGGCAGCAGUGGGGAAUUUUGGACAAUGGGCGAAAGCCUGAUCCAGCAAUGCCGCGUGCAGGAAGAAGGCCUUCGGGUUGUAAACUGCUUUUGUACGGAACGAAACGGAUCUGGUUAAUACCCGGGGUUAAUGACGGUACCGUAAGAAUAAGCACCGGCUAACUACGUG
rnacentral:rRNA from 1 species